ensembl:lncRNA
UCAGUCUGGAAAAGAGGAGGCUCAGGGGAGACCUUAUCGCUUUCUCACAAUGACCUGAAAGGAGGUUGGGGCAUGGUGGGGUCAGCCUCUUCUCCCGGGUAACAGCGAUAGGAUGAGAGGGAAUGGCAUCAAGUUGCUCCAGGGGCGGUUCAGGAUGGAUGUUAGGAAAAAAUUCUUCUCUGAAAGAGUGGUAGAAAAACUGGGGAACAACUCAGAGCUCAUGGGCUGCAAGUCUUGCCUCAUGAGCCUGAUGGCCGUGCACAAUAUCGGAUGAGAGAACACUGCUUUGCAAGCAUCACUGUUUGCAGCUCGGAACUUGAGAGUGCUGUCAUGCUCUUGAAUUACUUCAUGGACAAGACUUCUGUUAACACUUCUUCCCUCAGAGGCAAAAAAAUUAAAACCAGGGUUACUACUUUAAAAGAAUGCAGAACUACAAACCGCAUCCAGACAGUAACAACGCGCAAAUUGAAGUGAUACUGAAAUGCAGGAAUUUGUCAUCAAGCAUCAAUUCAUACAGGAACUUUUGCUUCUAAUCUCUACAGUAAAAGGCAUUAAUAACCAACAUCAUCAGGUUUAAAAGCCUAAAAUAAGCAAUAAAAAGCACUGUCUCAAAUAACAUAACCCAGUUACUCUGGAGAAAAAGUCUAUCAAUCUGCCUUCUUACAUAAAAUUAAUAUCUAUAUGCAUUGUUGCCCUCUAACAGAGAUGACUACAUAGUCCCAAAGGCAUCCCUUCAGUGUGUGAAAAGGGCUUCUUCUGUUACAAAAUACAUUAAUUGCAUUAGCAUAUUCUGCACGUAUUAAAAGACUGGUGAGGGAUCUUGUGCUAAAAAAUUGGCAUUGACAACAAAAACUUUCAGUAGGUGGAAACUUUAUUUCCACUCUCAUCAUAGACUUGGCUACUCCAAAGUCUCAUUUAAUUCUGGUAUGGACUCCAUUAGCUUGGGAGUGACAGCUCUAUCCUUUAAAACAAAUAUGCUAAUAAUAAUAGUAACAAUAAUAAUUCCAUGGAUAUGUGCAAGGAUGCUGAACAUUCUGAACUAGAAAGAAGCAAACAAAAGAGCAUAAUGCUGCUGAAUAGCAGCAGCUUCACAUAUCUCAUACAACCACUAUGAUGUGAAGCUCACUAGCGUGACUAAGAUUUAAGAUGAUCUGCUGACACCCAGAGCAAUGCUUAGCUGUACACUGUAGCACCAGCAAUAUGAAUAAGCUGUCAUGCAAUUGAACCUUCAAAAUGCUUGAAGGGAUUCCCUCCCACCUCAAAUAAGCAGUUCUCCAGACAUUGUAUAGCUAUGAAAUACUUGAAGAUCAAACUCUUGCUGACUGUUGCUAAGUGCAAAGGUACCACAGGGCUCUCCCGGGACUCCUCUUUGCAGUAGGGUUUAAAUAGCUAGUUUUCCUGUCACUGGUGCUCCCAACGCAAUCCUGCUGUAGUCUGUAUCCACAGUACAGGACUGAGGGCUGUUUCAUAAGUACUUAUCAAACUGAUUUGCAUCACAGAAUGGUUUUGUAGCACAUAAACUGAAUCGUUGUAGGAAGGUAAUGCAGUGGGUGCACUGCAGGCACACGUUCAAUGUGCUGUAACCACUUACAUGUAUUCAGUCCAUAAAACCAGAUUUAUUUUGCCUUCAGUCCUAUUCCCUCUGGGGAGGAGGUGUGAAAUAGCCUGGCAUGGGGAAGUCAGGAAACUCCACAGGACCAGACUAGAGCUAAGGCACCAUCAGAUGCAUGUGUUGUCUGCACUAGAUCUUCGUUACUGACUCCUUUGCUGCACCAGCACGUCCUUACUGUCAAAUCCCAUUCACAGGUGUGGACAGGCAGCACCAGGAGUCUUCAGUGGUUAUUUAAAAACAAAUCACAAGGUUGAAGUGAUGCGCCAGCUCCACUCUUCAAUGCCCAAAUAUCUUCAGUUUUCUGGUUCUUGCUCCCUCCAUCCCCACCGUCCCUAUUUUCUCACCUGGACUCCAGGACAGGGUGCUACAGAUUACCAACACUCUGAUGGGAGAGUGUGAUGAAAGGCAUGGAGGUGAUACAUGCUGUCCUUGAGAUGCCCCUUCAUAGUGCUGUACGCAUCUGAAGGAAGGCACUCACCGGCUUCCACUUUAAUCUGGGCUUGCUUUAUUUUAGAAUAAGUGAAUUCAAGCUUGGACCUAAAUCUUUCUUGUUGUCUUACUAAGCUUUGGAGAGCAAAGAUACAUUGUCAUUAAAACACACCUUCAUUAG